UGGAGAGUUUGAUCCUGGCUCAGAUUGAACGCUGGCGGCAUGCUUUACACAUGCAAGUCGAACGGUAACAGGGUGCUUGCACCGCUGACGAGUGGCGAACGGGUGAGUAAUGCGUCGGAACGUGCCGAGUAGUGGGGGAUAACGCAGCGAAAGUUGUGCUAAUACCGCAUACGUACUGAGGUAGAAAGUGGGGGACCUUCGGGCCUCACGCUAUUCGAGCGGCCGACGUCUGAUUAGCUAGUAGGUGAGGUAAAGGCUCACCUAGGCGACGAUCAGUAGCGGGUCUGAGAGGAUGAUCCGCCACACUGGGACUGAGACACGGCCCAGACUCCUACGGGAGGCAGCAGUGGGGAAUUUUGGACAAUGGGCGAAAGCCUGAUCCAGCCAUGCCGCGUGUCUGAAGAAGGCCUUCGGGUUGUAAAGGACUUUUGUCAGGGAGGAAAUCCCUAGYGYUAAUAMCRCUGGGGGAUGACAGUACCUGAAGAAUAAGCACCGGCUAACUACGUGCCAGCAGCCGCGGUA
rnacentral:rRNA from 1 species